UUUCGGAGUUACAUCCUUUGCUUGUUAUAAAAAUCCAAGUUACUGAGAUUAUUAGUAAUAUCAGCUCUUUUGCUUUUGAAAACAGAGUUUAGAUGUACUUAAAAUAUAAUGCUUACUGAAUGUACAUGAAAGUGUUGCAAAAAUGCAGUAAAAUGAUUAUUUUUCUCUAUCCUCUUUCAUGGGAGUAAGAUAACACAGGGAAAUGAAUCAUUUUUAAAUAUGUUGCAUGAAAUGUCAGGAGAGAAAGAAUUUAGCCUGCUCUGGAAUGGUUAUGAUGUGGGAGGUUUUUUGUUUCAUUUUUAGUAAGUGGCUUGGGUUUUGGCAUGAUGUCAUCAUCUCACAAACUUUUCCUAGGAAGUUGGUUCUUCUGGCACUUUCUGUGUAUGGAGAAAUAUUUUUGAAAUAUUUCAACAAUUAUUCAAUAUUAUAAUGUUGAAACAGACUGAACACAAACACAAACUGUCUUCCUUUUUAGCAGAUGAAUGGUAUCUCAGCUGUCUUUUAUUUUCCUAAAGAUUUUAGUAUUAAAGCAUUUGCCACUUAUGCCCAAGUAUUCCCUGAUUUAAAGCAUUAGCCUACUUCAAAUUGAUGCAAGCUAGAAGGAUCCUGGUUACAGCCUCCACAGCCUCCCUCCAGAUCUUGUCCUGUUGGACCUGGUCCUGCUGCAGUGCUGCCUGCUCAUCCGCCCUGCUCCGAGCAGCUGUUUGUGCAAGUACAGGUCUUCCAGGCUGGGUGCUGCCACGAGACAGGGAUGGAGCUGAGGCUGCUUGCCCCAGAGGUGUGGUUGCUGCUUGCCAGGACCUAGUCAAGGUGUUCCUCCUGAAUCCAGAACCCUUUCCCAACACAUCCAUUUUGAGACUCACUCUAUCCCCAGUAUUAUUAGGUCAGACCAUGGAAGAGGGAGCUGGAAGGAUGUCUGGAUUCUCCUGUCCACAGAUCUAUUGAUAGUUUAGGAGAAAUGAUGUGGCAUGCCUGCCUGUCUCUCAGCAAACUUACCUAGAAAAGAAGAAACAUCACAGCCAUAUCACAUUAUUUGUGAAGAGCAAAUUUCUGAGAGGUGUGAUUAGCUUGUGAUGUGAUGGACAGCAAAGUUUGUUGGUGGUGGUGGUUUUAUUUUGUGUAAGACAUUUUGUGUUUGAUGGGAAAUGCUUGCAGAGAUCUAGGAAACACAAGUGGCGUAAACAAGAGGCAGGAGCAGGAUCAUCAGCUGGAGGAGAGGGUGGCUCUCUGGACGCCAGCUUCGAAGACUGCUUCACCAUUUGGAAAGAUUGCCGCUUCACCCUCAGGAUGGAAACCCGGUGUCAGUCUUUGGGACCUGGCGACAAGUUUCCUGAGAUCACAGGAGGAUUCAGGUGACCUCAGGAGGUCUGUAUCAGGACUACGAGAUGAGACCAGCUCAGGGCUUUAUGCAGUUGGUCUUGAAAGCCUCCAAGGAUGGAGACUGCACAACCACGAGUCUGAUCAGCUUGGCAGAACGUGGAUGUCCACCUGGGCUGCACAGCUCAACCCACACAGACCUACAACUUUGCAAGAGUAUGAGAAACAACAACAGCAAAGCAGACUUUGCAAGUCCUUCAGCUGACUUUUCAUUAUACUUGGCCAGUGGUGCAGAAAGGCCCCUUCCAACCCAAACUGUCCUGAGAUUCAGUGAUGGGUCAGCCUGGGAUGGAGCCACCGAUUUGGAAGUUGUUGUGUAUGACUAUCACUGGAAAUUGAAUCGUGAAAUCCAGAGGGAACUGAUCCUCUCAGAUCCUCCAGCGCGGUGCUUGCUUAGAGUCCGCCUGAAGCAUGCACGGAUCCAGAUUUGUGCCUCUUCUCUCCCCACUUCCUUACACCAUGUCAACAUUACCUAGAAAACAUACAGAACAAGAAGGGAAAAAAACAAAUGUAGAACAUCCCAAAGACAUCGUGAAGUGCUGUCUGCUGAAAGUGAAACGGAGAUUGGAUUCAUGAAGUGGAUUAAACCAAUAAAUAUGAUUGCUUCUUUGGAGGCUACAAGAUCUCUGGAUGAAGAAGGAAGCUGCAUUAUUAAAAUCCAAAUUCUGGAUAUUGCAUCUGAGACAAUUAUCUCACAGGGUUUUAUCUGAGGAACCGAUUUACAAUUAAAAACUCUGAGGAGAACAAAAACCUGUGUGAAAGACACGGUACAAAAUAAAGCUCUCUUUUCAAUUAUGAGGGUUAGUUCAUCACUGAGUGUUAAGUAAUGACUGAGUGUUAAGUAAUUGUUAUUACUUAACACUCUCAAGGUUAAGUAAUUAGUUGGGCACCCUUUGACACUGGGGGUAGAGGGGUUGGGGGAGUCCCUAAAUGUUUCUACAAGUGCUACAAGUGUUUUGUGGUGCUCCAAGCUGUUAGUUGCUCCAGUUGGCACCAUCUUCCAUCCCAAUGAGACACUUUUAGAUGCAGAGUACCUUUCCCUUCUAUAAUAU